rnacentral:rRNA from 1 species
AACGAACGCUGGCGGCAGGCCUAACACAUGCAAGUCGAGCGAACCCUUCGGGGUUAGCGGCGGACGGGUUAGUAACGCGUGGGAAUAUACCCUUUGGUACGGAAUAGCCUCGGGAAACUGAGAGUAAUACCGUAUGUGCCCUUCGGGGGAAGAUUAUCGCCAAAGGAUUAGCCCGCGUUGGAUUAGAUAGUUGGUGGGGUAAUGGCCUACCAAGUCUACGAUCCAUAGCUGGUUUGAGAGGAUGAUCAGCAACACUGGGAUUGAGACACGGCCCAGACUCCUACGGGAGGCAGCAGUGGGGAAUCUUAGACAAUGGGCGCAAGCCUGAUCUAGCCAUGCCGCGUGGACGACGAAGGCCUUAGGGUUGUAAAGUCCUUUCAGAUGGGAAGAUAAUGACGGUACCAUCAGAAGAAGCCCCGGCUAACUCCGUGCCAGCAGCCGCGGUAAUGUCUGUACU